AUUGAACGCUGGCGGCAGGCCUAACACAUGCAAGUCGAGCGGUAGAGAGAAGCUUGCUUCUCUUGAGAGCGGCGGACGGGUGAGUAAAGCCUAGGAAUCUGCCUGGUAGUGGGGGAUAACGUUCGGAAACGGACGCUAAUACCGCAUACGUCCUACGGGAGAAAGCAGGGGACCUUCGGGCCUUGCGCUAUCAGAUGAGCCUAGGUCGGAUUAGCUAGUUGGUGAGGUAAUGGCUCACCAAGGCGACGAUCCGUAACUGGUCUGAGAGGAUGAUCAGUCACACUGGAACUGAGACACGGUCCAGACUCCUACGGGAGGCAGCAGUGGGGAAUAUUGGACAAUGGGCGAAAGCCUGAUCCAGCCAUGCCGCGUGUGUGAAGAAGGUCUUCGGAUUGUAAAGCACUUUAAGUGGGAGGAAGGGCAGUUACCUAAUACGUGAUUGUUUUGACGUUACCGACAGAAUAAGCACCGGCUAACUCU
rnacentral:rRNA from 1 species